rnacentral:rRNA from 1 species
UACGAAGGGGGCUAGCGUUGCUCGGAAUCACUGGGCGUAAAGGGUGCGUAGGCGGGUCUUAAGUCAGGGGUGAAAUCCUGGAGCUCAACUCCAGAACUGCCUUUGAUACUGGGGAUCUUGAGUUCGGGAGAGGUGAGUGGAACUGCGAGUGUAGAGGUGAAAUUCGUAGAUAUUCGCAAGAACACCAGUGGCGAAGGCGGCUCACUGGCCCGAUACUGACGCUGAGGCACGAAAGCGUGGGGAGCAAACAGG